UUACAGUGGUUAGAUCGGAAUGUUGACAGCAGAAGGAAUAGUCUGUUCAUGAAGGACACUGGAAGGACCAAAACCGGCUGUAUGUGUUGACAAUAACAGUGCAGUGAACAGAGGCUGAGACAGACAUACCAUCUGGUUUCUCUUGAGUACAAAAGGAUGAACUGCUUGCCUCUUGUCCUUUAUCCAAUGUUAUGGCUUGAUUCUGUGCUUGGCUCCCUUCCCGCUCCUGUCAAUGUCUCUGUCAUCUCUGUCAACUUCCACCAUGUCCUGCAUUGGGAUCCCGGACCCGGCACCCCACCAGGAACACAAUACAGGGUCUUCAGAAGGAUGGAGGGGAAGAAACGGAAAACAAUGAACACAACAACAACAACAUCAUUAAAGCUGAAGCUACAGACAUACUCCAAAUAUCGCCUGACUGUCCAGGCGUUCUACAACCAAACCCUGUCUCCAGAGUCCCACAAAGUUAUUUUCACCCCUUAUGAAGACACCAAAAUAGGUCCUCCAAUUGUUUCCCUGGCUGGAUGUGGCAACUGCAUCCACAUCAAUAUGUCACUUCCUGAGGCUGACAGGAGUUCAGGAGUCUCCAGUAUCCAGGAAUUCUUUGCUGCUACAUUCAGAAUUCAUUUCUUUUUGAGGGGAGAAAACAAAGUAGUGGAUUAUUAUGAAACGAGAAACAAGAGUUAUACUAUCAAUUACCUAAAUAGUGGUAUGGAGUACUGUGUGCAGGUGCACACAAAGAUUAGCUUGAACAAAAAUACUGAGCCAUCCUCUUGGAAAUGCAUCUUCACUAGCACUGUGGAAUCACGUAGAGACUCUGUUGUUUUAGGUGCAGUUGCUGCUCUUGUGAUUUUAGUUGCGGGUGGCCUGAUGACCUUCCAUGUUUUGUCUCUACUACACUGGAUUCAUUUGUAAACUGAAGGCAGCUCUUCCCAGAGUGCUAAUUAUGGCUCUGAGCCAAAACUACAUCCUGACACCAGAGGGGACAAUCCCAGACCUGGUCUCCAUUAGCUCAGUGAUGGAGAAGCAGAGGAAGUGCAACAAUCCUUCAGUACCACAUCUUUCCAGUGGGGAUCAAGAUAAAGAGGAGGAGGAAGAGGAGGAGGAGGAGGAAGGGAUGAACGUCUACAUGGGCAGAUAUGCUCAGCAUUCCUCAAGCGAAAGUUUGUCCUUGGGCUCUGGUAAUGAGUUGGGGAUCAGCAAGAUAGCUGCAUCAGGGGACUGUGGCAGCUUGACAGAGAUGCUACCGGCUGAGGUGGAGGUAACAGAAGCAGAGUUUGAAGAUGAGGCCAAAGCUGAAGGAGCAAAGGAUUCUUUCACGCCCGAAAGAGGGUCAAACUGGACUCCAGGCACAGGAGGAGGAGGAGGUGAUGAAAGAGGAGUUUGACAGCUCUGGCAAUGUCAAUCUGUUUUCAGUCACCCUCGCUGCACUGGGUGUAGGUGAGGAAGAGGAAGAAGACUCUCUCACAGACUUUUUGAAACUAUCUGAUCUGGAACCUCUACUGCCUGCAGUCCCAAAACAGACUUUAAGCAACACAGACUCACAAAUUGAGUUAGAUGAUCAGACACAACAUGAAGAGGCACAAGAGGAGGACGAUGACGACGAGCAUGACAGUGAAUUCUCUGGAUAUAUGGGAGGUGUGGUGGUAGAAGUCAGUGAUGGUCUGGCUGUCAUGAUUGCUCUCAUUUGGAUUCUCACAUGGCUGCCUCCGGUCCUGUCAGCUAUGACUGAACUGCCCAAGCCUGUCAACCUCACCCUGACCUCAAAAUAUUUCAGGCAUAAUUUGACAUGGCAGCCUGGAAGCAGGGACACCCACUGGUGUCUCCUACAAUGUCACCGUCAACACAGUGAGGGGAACAUCCUGGACGGUAGUGAAUGAAUGCAAGAAUGUCAUGCACCCACUAGUAUGCAACUUCACAGAUGCGCUCUCUGACCCACGGGAAGUUUACUUUCUCCGGGUUACAGCACUGAAGGGAGCACAGCUCUCACAGUCAGACAUCCUUCCAGGAUUUAAAGCCAUCAGAGACACUCACAUGGACCUGCCACGGCUGACUGUGACACCCUGUCACAGAGAUCUGUGUGUGGACCUUAACCCUCCCAUGGAACACUUAAGGGAGAUCUAUGAUGAUUUUAACUACAAACUCAAGAUCAAGAGCAAUAGUUCAGACAGUGCUGAGUUCUUCAAUAACAUCAAGUCUCUGAGAAGACAAAUUUUGGUGGAUCUGGCCCCCAGCAGACUAUACUGUGUCUCAGUCUGCUUUGCAGACAGUCUGGCACCCAGAGAGUCCAACUACAGCCAACCUAUAUGUGCUUUCACCUCCGGCAUCUUUUCUGCAGACCCGUUGAUCUCAGCCUUGCUCUGUUUGGUGGUGCUGUUCGGAGUGGUUGUCUUGGCCCUACUAAUCCUCACUGGUUUCAUCUGUCUGAGAAAGAGGCCACUACCAUGGGUCCUGACAUCCAGCCAUCACAUAGAGGGGGUUCUGGUCACCCAUGCUGGAGGGGUCACACCAUCCAGCAUAUGUAAACUAGCGCUGCCCUCUUCAGGAGAAAAGAGGAGCAACCAGUCAUUAUCAGACGAGAGCAAUGGGGAAAGUGAAACAGAGACCACUGGUGGGAACAAAGGAGGUUAUAAACUGCGGGUGGGUUCAAACCUCACAUCUUCCUUGUCUUCAUCUACAUCAUCUUUGUCAGCUUGUGCACCCCCCAAGCUCAAACCACAACCCAACGUCUCAUCAAACCAAACGUCAGACCUCUUAAGUCCACAGCCCGAAGUCCCAGUUUCAGCAGAGACCCCUUCAUGUUCUGGAUUGAACCACACACUGAGCAUAGACACGGACAGUCUGACUGUUAGAAAAAUCAAGACAGAUAAGGAGGUGGUGGCAGAGGAGGACAGCCAGGAUGUGAACCUCCUCACAUUAACCUUUGGCAGACAUGAGGAGGAGGAGGAAGAAUCGCAUCUUGAUGUGACAGAGGUAGAGCCAGAGUCUGAUUCUGCCUCUGAGGAGGACAACAUCGCUCCAAUUCAACCCUCACAAACUAGCGAUACCAAGAAAGUUGCCACAGAAACAGUUUCCUGCUCUGCUGAUGAAGAGGAAGAGGAGGGGGAAGAGGAGGAGGAGGAGGACUCCGGAUAUAUGGGACGUCCAAGUAGAGAUGUCUUACAGUGUUAACUAUAGAUGUCUUGGGGUUUUCCAGUUGAAAGACUGAUGUCUUUUCAGAAUGUCACAAUGUGCUAAAAACCAGUGUUCUAAAGAAUGACUGUAGCAGCACUGGUGUAAUUUCAUUUCCAUCAACAGACUCGACACACUGACAUCUGAUAUUUUGAUGAGUAAUUCUCACUACAGGAUGGACAUACUCUGGUCACUACAACCAGUUGUGACAUGUACAAGCGAUUAAGUGAACUUGUUACAUUCCUCAGAGUUCUUGUGUUUUGUAUAUUUUCUUUGGCAUGAACAGAAUUUCAGUGGUCCAGACAUGUUGUACAAGCCAUGAUUAGAUUAGUCUGUCUGUAGUGCCCUAUUGUUUUACACUUCUGUGAAGCUUUGCCACUUGUAUGGAGCUCCACUUCUUGACUCAUGAGAUGAUGCUACCUACAUUUAAGCUGAUUUAUUUUCAUGUUUAACAAGCAAAAAACUUAGCAACAUCUUUGAGCCUAGCAGGAAGUCAGAGACUGUACCAAGUCACUCCUUUGACAACAGGUGAUUAUCAUCAUCUAAUUAACCAUAAUACAUCCAAAAAUAAUCCAACAAAUGGGGGAAAAUAUACUUUGCAUCUAACACAGUGAUUGCUGCAACACUCAGUCUACAUAGAACCACAUGCUCUCUGAAUAAUUAUCUAUAACAAUAAGGAAAAAAGUUCCUUUUAAUUUUGUUCAUUUGUAGACUUAAGAGCCACAAUAAUCUGAAUUAAUUUAGUGUUUAACUGCAAUCCUGAAAUCAGCUAAAAUAAACUGAAGGCGAAAUGUAUGCUCACCAUAUUAUCCCAUCAUCACAGCUUGCUAAUUGAUCGAGAGAUUCAACAACUUUUUUAAAAAUAUUCAUAAUUUUAUUAUUUAUGAUUUAAUUUGCAUUUUGGCAUAGCAGCUUCCAGGCUACGGAGUCACUGUCCAGGGCUACACCCUCUCACCCAACAGUCUGAUAUCACUUAUAGGCUUAUGUUUUCU